rnacentral:hammerhead_ribozyme from 1 species
AUCCAGCCGACUGUCAGUCCCAAAUAGGACGAAAUGCGCAUCCUGGAU